rnacentral:tRNA from 1 species
GCCCGCUUGGCUCAGCGGUAGAGCGUAUGUUAAAACCUCAACCAAAUACUUGGCUAGUACAUACUAACUAGAUAAUAGGCAUCACUAGUAAUGAUGAGGUCGUCAGUUCGACUCUGGCAGUGGGCA